UACCAGCUCUCCGAGUGGUGUGGAUGUUUAUUGGGCCUAAAGCAUCCGUAGCUGGCUGGACAAGUCCCCUGUUAAAUCCACCGAUUUAAUCGUUGGUGUGCGGGGGAUACUGUUCGGCUAGGGGACGGGAGAGGCAGACGGUAUUUUCGGGGUAGGGGUGAAAUCCUAUAAUCCCGGGAAGACCACCAGUGGCGAAGGCUGUCUGCUAGAACGCGCCCGACGGUGAGGGAUGAAAGCUGGGGGAGCGAACCGGAUUAGAUACCCGGGUAGUCCCAGCCGUAAACGAUGCAGGCUAGGUGUUUGGACGGCCACGUGCCGUUCUAGUGCCGCAGGGAAGCCGUUAAGCCUGCCGCCUGGGGAGUACGGCCGCAAGGCUGAAACUUAAAGGAAUUGGCGGGGGAGCACCACAAGGGGUGAAGCUUGCGGUUU
rnacentral:rRNA from 1 species